CGGUCCUACGGGGCGCAGCAGUCGGGAAUAUUGCGCAAUGGAGGAAACUCUGACGCAGUGACGCCGCGUGCAGGAAGAAGGUUUUCGGAUUGUAAACUGCUUUAGACAGGGAAGAAAAAAGACAGUACCUGUAGAAUAAGCUCCGGCUAACUACGUGCCAGCAGCCGCGGUAAUACGGAGGAUGCGAGCGUUAUCCGGAUUUAUUGGGUUUAAAGGGUGUGCAGGUGGCCUGUUAAGUCAGCGGUAAAAGUACGGGG
rnacentral:rRNA from 1 species